rnacentral:rRNA from 1 species
CCUACGGGUGGCAGCAGUGAGGAAUAUUGGUCAAUGGGCGGGAGCCUGAACCAGCCAAGCCGCGUGAGGGAAGAAGGUACAGCGUAUCGUAAACCUCUUUUGUCAGGGAACAAAGGCGGGGACUAGUCCCCGGUUGAGGGUACCUGAAGAAAAAGCAUCGGCUAACUCCGUGCCAGCAGCCGCGGUAAUACGGAGGAUGCGAGCGUUAUCCGGAUUUAUUGGGUUUAAAGGGUGCGCAGGCGGCCUGUUAAGUCAGCGGUAAAAGCCCGGGGCUCAACCCCGUCGAGCCGUUGAAACUGGCGAGCUUGAGUUGGAGAGAAGUACGCGGAAUGCGCGGUGUAGCGGUGAAAUGCUUAGAUAUCACGCAGAACCCCGAUUGCGAAGGCAGCAUACCGGCGCCACACUGACGCUGAGGCACGAAAGCGUGGGUAUCGAACAGGAUUAGAUACCCCUGUAGUC